UUGACCUCGGAUCAGGUAGGAAGACCCGCUGAACUUAAGCAUAUCAAUAAGCGGAGGAAAAGAAACCAACAGGGAUUGCCCUAGUAACGGCGAGUGAAGCGGCAACAGCUCAAAUUUGAAAUCUGGCUUCGGCCCGAGUUGUAAUUUGCAGAGGAAGCUUUGGGCGCGGCACCGACUGAGUCCCCUGGAACGGGGCGCCAUAGAGGGUGAGAGCCCCGUAUAGUCGGACGCUAAGCCUGUGUAAAGCUCCUUCGACGAGUCGAGUAGUUUGGGAAUGCUGCUCAAAAUGGGAGGUAAAUUUCUUCUAAAGCUAAAUACCGGCCAGAGACCGAUAGCGCACAAGUAGAGUGAUCGAAAGAUGAAAAGCACUUUGAAAAGAGGGUUAAAUAGCACGUGAAAUUGUUGAAAGGGAAGCGCUUGUGACCAGACUUGCGCCUGGCUGAUCAUCCGGUGUUCUCACCGGUGCACUCUGCCAGGCUCAGGCCAGCAUCGGUUCUCGCGGGGGGAUAAAGGCCCUGGGAACGUAGCUCCUCCGGGAGUGUUAUAGCCCAGGGUGCAAUGCCCUCGCGGGGACCGAGGUUCGCG
rnacentral:rRNA from 1 species